rnacentral:rRNA from 1 species
UACGUAGGGGGCAAGCGUUGUCCGGAAUCAUUGGGCGUACAGAGCGUGUAGGCGGUCCGGUAAGUCCGCUGUGAAAGUCGGGGGCUCAACCCUCGAAUGCCGGUGGAUACUGUCGGGCUAGAGUGCGGAAGAGGCGAGUGGAAUUCCUGGUGUAGCGGUGAAAUGCGCAGAUAUCAGGAGGAACACCUAUUGCGAAGGCAGCUCGCUGGGACGUUACUGACGCUGAGACGCGAAAGCGUGGGGAGCAAACAGG